AAACACGAUUGUAGCCUUGAGAUACUAACAAUAAAAGCUUUGCUGGCUAUACUAAUGGACAACCACAGGUCACGGGAGCCAACACUGGAUGACAUUUAUUAUUUAUUCCGCAAUAUUUCCUGGAAAAUGAUCCCUUCGUCUUCAGGUCACUCUGUGCUGCAGGGGCCUAGUUCUAGAGCCAAAGAGAUCAGAUUGUUCGAGCAAGAGAAAGAGAAAAAUUAGAAACAAAACAAUAAUAAAUCAUAUAUAUAUAUAUAUAUAUAUACAUAUAUAUAUCAACCAAUUAAAGAUGGCGAAUUACAACUCUUUCUCGUUGCUCUCGCUAGCCAUUGUCACCCUGCUUCUCGCCAGCCAAAACGCCGACGCACUUUUUCCCGUCAACCAAUUU
rnacentral:lncRNA from 1 species